rnacentral:lncRNA from 1 species
AGGAAGUGCUCAGCACGAAAAUCUAGGUGCCACCUGCAGGAGAAACGAAGGCACGCAGUUGCGAUAUGAGUGUGCAAAGGCUCCACAGCAGAUCAACUUGCAUGACUGUGGAUUGUACGUGCUAGGUGGGUGAUAGCAUGAGCAUCUGAAAUGAGUUCACAGAUGGAACUGCAGCACUGGAAUUCAGAUCAUGGAUCAAGAUGAGUACAUCAACAGCUGACAAUCCAACUUAUGAUGCAGGCAUGGCAGAUGUAAUUGCAGAGAGCUUCGUGAAGGGCGAAGCCUUGCAAGAUACAGACUCUGAGCUGAGGCUCAGGCUGACCCCUGAUGCCGUCCAGAAUCUGAGAUCUGAAUUACUAGGCCUGAUUACUGAGCGUGCAGAGGCGGCGCAGAAUGUAUCAAAGUGAUGUAAAGACAGCGGAGAGCUUGUCAAAGUCCUCAACGCAUGACUGAGUUUCUGUAGACUAAAGGGCGAGGUGAAAAUCUUGCAACAACUACCACAUGUGUACAACAGAGAAUCUGGCAGAGAUUCAUAAAAAAUUUACAGGUGUUCAGCAAGAGAUCUGGCAAUGUAAAAGGCACAGACCUUUGGUUUGUGCCCUAUCUUGUUACCUGGAGAGGUUGCGGUGCCAGGCUUUGUGCUGUGCUACUUUAUCUGUGAUGCCAAUGAAACUUUCCUUUGUUUGCUAUUGUGCGGAGUGAUCAUUUCAAAGAUCUACCAUAGAUGUGACUUGCGUGAUUGUGCUUGCCUGAUUUCAUGGACGUCUACGAUUGCUCGUACUCUGGGUUGUGUUCUUACCUGCGAUGCCAUGUGCUGCUUGAUACUUUGGGAAUUCUCUAGAGAUCUGGAUACCAUUGGGCUAUUGUGCUUCAUUGAUUUGUGAUGGAUGCUUAUCGUUCAUCAUGGUUGUACACCGGGUUGUUGUGUUGGUUGCUGGCCAUGCGAUGUGGCCAGACGUCUGAUCAGCCCUAAGCGGCUGGAAAAGAUCUAAAAGACUGACUGAUGGUGGUCCUACUUGCUCUUGCAGCUGCUGUAUCAGAGCCACAAUAUCGUUCUUUCUGCUGUUCAUGCUCCAGCACCCCCAACGUCAAAGAGUUCGUUUCCUUUGUCCAGAUUUACCAGGCCAGAUCAGGUGUCCUUAACAAGGAAAGUCCCCGUACAGAUCCUCUAGCUAGAGCAUACAACAAAAUGUCACUGGUCGACCCCAAUGGAUCAUUCCCUCACGAGUAGAGAACUACAACAUGGGCCAGCUGAUCAGC